UACAGAGGUGGCAAGCGUUGUUCGGAAUUACUGGGCGUAAAGGGCGCGUAGGCGGCCUUCUAAGUCGGACGUGAAAUCCCUCGGCUCAACCGGGGAACUGCGUCCGAUACUGGUGGGCUUGAAUCCGGGAGAGGGAUGUGGAAUUCCAGGUGUAGCGGUGAAAUGCGCAGAUAUCAGGAAGAACACCAAUGGCGAAAGCAGCUCUCUGGGACGGUACUGACGCUGAGACGCGAAAGCGUGGGGAGCGAACAGG
rnacentral:rRNA from 1 species